GUCCCCAUGAUGAGGACAUGCGGUGACGUAUUCCUGCAAUCUUUUCCACGCUACCGGGAUCGUCUCAUCCUUCCUCUGUUGGAAGCUGGAUAUUCUUCCACGAAGGGC
rnacentral:snoRNA from 1 species